rnacentral:rRNA from 1 species
GACGUAGGGCGCGAGCGUUGUCCGGAUUUAUUGGGCGUAAAGAGCUCGUAGGCGGUUUCGUAAGUCGGAUGUGAAAACUCCAGCUCAACUUGGAGACGCCAUUCGAUACUGCGAUGACUUGAGUCCGGUAGGGGAGUGUGGAAUUCCUGGUGUAGCGGUGAAAUGCGCAGAUAUCAGGAGGAACACCGAUGGCGAAGGCAGGUCUCUGGGCCACUACUGACGCUGAGAAGCGAAAGCAUGGGGAGCGAACAGG